UACGAAGGGUGCUAGCGUUGUUCGGAAUUAUUGGGCGUAAAGGGUACGUAGGCGGUAAGAUAAGUCGAUUGUGAAAGCCCCGAGCUUAACUCGGGAAUUGCAAACGAAACUGUCUUGCUAGAGUUUGGUGGGGGAUGAUGGAAUUCCUAGUGUAGGGGUGAAAUCCGUAGAGAUUAGGAGGAACACCGGUGGCGAAAGCGAUCAUCUACGCCAAUACUGACGCUAAGGUACGAAAGCGUGGGGAGCAAACAGG
rnacentral:rRNA from 1 species